ACAAGUCCUAGGUUACUGGAGCCAGAGUAGUCCCAACCCCACGGCAGCUAGCAGGAGAACAACAGGUCCUAGGUUACUGGAGCCAGAGUAGUCCCAACCCCACGCCAGCUAGCAGGAGAACAACAAGUCCUAGGUUACUGGAGCCAGAGUAGUCCCAACCCCACGGCAGCUAGCAGGAGAACAGCAAGUCCUAGGUUACUGGAGCCAGAGUAGUCCCAACCCCACGGCAGCUAGCAGGAGAACAGCAAGUCCUAGGUUACUGGAGCCAGAGUAGUCCCAACCCCACGGCAGCUAGCAGGAGGACAACAAGUCCUAGGUUACUGGAGCCAGAGUAGUCCCAACCCCACGCCAGCUAGCAGGAGAACAACAGGUCCUAGGUUACUGGAGCCAGAGUAGUCCCAACCCCACGCCAGCUAGCAGGAGAACAACAGGUCCUAGGUUACUGGAGCCAGAGUAGUCCCAACCCCACGCCAGCUAGCAGGAGAACAACAAGUCCUAGGUUACUGGAGCCAGAGUAGUCCCAACCCCACGGCAGCUAGCAGGAGAACAACAGGUCCUAGGUUACUGGAGCCAGAGUAGUCCCAACCCCACGGCAGCUAGCAGGAGAACAAGUCCUAGGUUACUGGAGCCAGAGUAGUCCCAACCCCACGCCAGCUAGCAGGAGAACAACAGGUCCUAGGUUACUGGAGCCAGAGUAGUCCCAACCCCACGCCAGCUAGCAGGAGAACAACAAGUCCUAGGUUACUGGAGCCAGAGUAGUCCCAACCCCACGGCAGCUAGCAGGAGGACAACAAGUCCUAGGUUACUGGAGCCAGAGUAGUCCCAACCCCACGCCAGCUAGCAGGAGAACAACAGGUCCUAGGUUACUGGAGCCAGAGUAGUCCCAACCCCACGGCAGCUAGCAGGAGAACAAGUCCUAGGUUACUGGAGCCAGAGUAGUCCCAACCCCACGGCAGCUAGCAGGAGAACAACAGGUCCUAGGUUACUGGAGCCAGAGUAGUCCCAACCCCACGGCAGCUAGCAGGAGAACAGCAAGUCCUAGGUUACUGGAGCCAGAGUAGUCCCAACCCCACGGCAGCUAGCAGGAGGACAACAAGUCCUAGGUUACUGGAGCCAGAGUAGUCCCAACCCCACGCCAGCUAGCAGGAGAACAACAGGUCCUAGGUUACUGGAGCCAGAGUAGUCCCAACCCCACGCCAGCUAGCAGGAGAACAACAGGUCCUAGGUUACUGGAGCCAGAGUAGUCCCAACCCCACGCCAGCUAGCAGGAGAACAACAGGUCCUAGGUUACUGGAGCCAGAGUAGUCCCAACCCCACGCCAGCUAGCAGGAGAACAACAAGUCCUAGGUUACUGGAGCCAGAGUAGUCCCAACCCCACGGCAGCUAGCAGGAGAACAACAGGUCCUAGGUUACUGGAGCCAGAGUAGUCCCAACCCCACGGCAGCUAGCAGGAGAACAAGUCCUAGGUUACUGGAGCCAGAGUAGUCCCAACCCCACGGCAGCUAGCAGGAGAACAGGUCCUAGGUUACUGGAGCCAGAGUAGUCCCAACCCCACGCCAGCUAGCAGGAGAACAACAAGUCCUAGGUUACUGGAGCCAGAGUAGUCCCAACCCCACGGCAGCUAGCAGGAGAACAACAGGUCCUAGGUUACUGGAGCCAGAGUAGUCCCAACCCCACGGCAGCUAGCAGGAGAACAACAGGUCCUAGGUUACUGGAGCCAGAGUAGUCCCAACCCCACGGCAGCUAGCAGGAGAACAACAGGUCCUAGGUUACUGGAGCCAGAGUAGUCCCAACCCCACGGCAGCUAGCAGGAGGACAACAAGUCCAAGGUUACUGGAGCCAGAGUAGUCCCAACCCCACGGCAGCUAGCAGGAAAACAACAAGUCCUAGGUUACUGGAGCCAGAGUAGUCCCAACCCCACGCCAGCUAGCAGGAGAACAACAAGUCCUAGGUUACUGGAGCCAGAGUAGUCCCAACCCCACGGCAGCUGGCAGGAGAACAACAAGUCCUAGGUUACUGGAGCCAGAGUAGUCCCAACCCCACGGCAGCUAGCAGGAGAACAACAAGUCCUAGGUUACUGGAGCCAGAGUAGUCCCAACCCCACGGCAGCUAGCAGGAGAACAAGUCCAAGGUUACUGGAGCCAGAGUAGUCCCAACCCCACGGCAGCUAGCAGGAGGACAACAAGUCCUAGGUUACUGGAGCCAGAGUAGUCCCAACCCCACAGCAGCUAGCAGGAGAACAACAAGUCCUAGGUUACUGGAGCCAGAGUAGUCCCAACCCCACGCCAGCUAGCAGGAGAACAACAAGUCCUAGGUUACUGGAGCCAGAGUAGUCCCAACCCCACGGCAGCUAGCAGGAGAACAGCAAGUCCUAGGUUACUGGAGCCAGAGUAGUCCCAACCCCACGGCAGCUAGCAGGAGAACAGCAAGUCCUAGGUUACUGGAGCCAGAGUAGUCCCAACCCCACGGCAGCUAGCAGGAGGACAACAAGUCCUAGGUUACUGGAGCCAGAGUAGUCCCAACCCCACGCCAGCUAGCAGGAGAACAAGUCCUAGGUUACUGGAGCCAGAGUAGUCCCAACCCCACGGCAGCUAGCAGGAGAACAACAAGUCCUAGGUUACUGGAGCCAGAGUAGUCCCAACCCCACGGCAGCUAGCAGGAGAACAACAAGUCCUAGGUUACUGGAGCCAGAGUAGUCCCAACCCCACGGCAGCUAGCAGGAGAACAACAAGUCCUAGGUUACUGGAGCCAGAGUAGUCCCAACCCCACGGCAGCUAGCAGGAGGACAACAAGUCCUAGGUUACUGGAGCCAGAGUAGUCCCAACCCCACGGCAGCUAGCAGGAGGACAACAAGUCCUAGGUUACUGGAGCCAGAGUAGUCCCAACCCCACGCCAGCUAGCAGGAGAACAAGUCCUAGGUUACUGGAGCCAGAGUAGUCCCAACCCCACGGCAGCUAGCAGGAGAACAACAAGUCCUAGGUUACUGGAGCCAGAGUAGUCCCAACCCCACGGCAGCUAGCAGGAGAACAACAAGUCCUAGGUUACUGGAGCCAGAGUAGUCCCAACCCCACGGCAGCUAGCAGGAGAACAACAAGUCCUAGGUUACUGGAGCCAGAGUAGUCCCAACCCCACGGCAGCUAGCAGGAGGACAACAAGUCCUAGGUUACUGGAGCCAGAGUAGUCCCAACCCCACGGCAGCUAGCAGGAGGACAACAAGUCCUAGGUUACUGGAGCCAGAGUAGUCCCAACCCCACGGCAGCUAGCAGGAGAACAACAAGUCCUAGGUUACUGGAGCCAGAGUAGUCCCAACCCCACGGCAGCUAGCAGGAGAACAACAAGUCCUAGGUUACUGGAGCCAGAGUAGUCCCAACCCCACGGCAGCUAGCAGGAGAACAAGUCCUAGGUUACUGGAGCCAGAGUAGUCCCAACCCCACGGCAGCUAGCAGGAGAACUAGUCCUAGGUUACUGGAGCCAGAGUAGUCCCAACCCCACGGCAGCUAGCAGGAGGACAACAAGUCCUAGGUUACUGGAGCCAGAGUAGUCCCAACCCCACGCCAGCUAGCAGGAGAACAGCAAGUCCUAGGUUACUGGAGCCAGAGUAGUCCCAACCCCACGGCAGCUAGCAGGAGAACAA